rnacentral:tRNA from 1 species
AUUCAAAUAGCUUAAAAAUAAGAGCGUAAUAUUGAAGAUAUUAAGGUAAUAUUAUUAUUUUUGGAUA